AGCAGCCGAUGGCGGCAUGGGUUAUCUCAUGCAAGUCGACCGCUGAGCAAGGGGAGCGGCAGACGGGAGAGUAACACGAGGGAACGUACCAUUCAGGUCUGAUCACGCAAGAGACACUCGAGCUCAUACCGAAUACGCCGAUAAGGGGAAAGAUUGAUCGCGGAAAGAUCGGCAUCAGUCUGAUUAGGUAGUUGGUGGGGUACAAGCCCACCAAGGCGACGAUCAGUAGAGGUCGGAGAGGAUCAUCAGCCUCAGACGCGUGACACACUCCCCAGACUCGCACCAGAGGCAGCAGUGGGCAAUAUUGGACAAUGGGCGCAAGCAUGAUCCACCCAGGGAGGGCGAGUGACGAAGGCUAUAGGUUUGUAAACUCGUUGAUCAGGGAAGAUAACGACGGUACCAGAAGAAGAAGCCCUGGCUAACUUCGCAGCAGCAGCCGCGGUAAUACGAAGGGGACUAGCGUUGCUCGGAAUCGCUGGUAAUAAAGUGCUAGUAGGCGGCUUUCUUAGUCAGGGAAGAAAUCCGGGAUCUCACCUCCUGAACAGCCUAUGAUGCCAGAGAGGAUUACUUCAGGAGAGGCGAGAGGUCCUGCGAGAGUAGAGGAGAAAUUAGUUGUCAGGAGCAACAACGGCAGUGAAGAAGGGUGUUCGGUCCGGUGAUGCCGACGAGGAGGGAAGAAAGCGGGAGGGACCAGCAUGAGUUGCUCCCGUGGUACUCCCCGUAAUCAACGAUGGAUAGUAGCCGGUGGGCAGCCUCGGGAUCAGUGGCGCAGCUAACGCAUUAAGCGUCCCGCCUGGGGAGUACGGUCGCAAGGUUAAAACUCAAAUGAAUUGACGGGG
rnacentral:rRNA from 1 species